AAAUACAGAAAUAUGUCUGCAAAGAAAUAGGAGCUUCCAAAUCAAGUAAACUAAUGAGGCUGGUGAAGAUAUGUUCUCUGCCUCUGGCUGACAGUGCACCUGACGUGUAAGAACGCGUUAGUGAAGAAAAUACUUAUAUCCGGAUUCCGUAAUGCAGCGUGAACGUUGACAGCCGCACAAAACCAAGAGAUGACAGCGUAUCCGGAAUCCCCGACGACGAAACAAGGCGUCGCCGAAAACGACGUGUCCAGCGGGCAGCGGCAGGACUCCAGCCGGCACCCAAGGCCGCGCCGUCCCUAUAAGAGCGGCCGCCGGCGCUCCGCACAGUAGUCACUGCAGACCGCGCACGACACACACCUCAAAGCACCAUGAAGGCUUUCGUCUGCUCUUUCCUCGUAGUCCUGCUGGUGGCGGCCGUGUUCGCCCAGGAGAAGGCCAAGGAGACCCUGAAGGGCGCCGAGGCCUACUACGCCUACGCCGCCCCCUACGCCUACAGCGCCUUCGGCUACCCCGCCGUCAGCGCCUACUCCGCCUACCCCUAUGCCGCCGCCGGCUACCCCUACUACUACCGCUAAGAAGACACAAAUUCUGACAUGAUGUCUCCUGUACUGAUUCUUCUGUUUGUCUCUUUUCUCUAAAUACAACUCUAUCACAAAACAAAAA